AGAACUGCAACUCAGACGUUAAUGGCUUCUGGAAUUAGAUUCAGUUCUCCUACUUUGGCUUCAGCUAUGGUUGAUAUUGUCCCUGCUUUUACCUUCAUACUUGCUAUAAUUUCAAGGUAUGUUAUUUUUAUUUUAUGGUUGAAAUUACAAGGUUUGUUGUUUUUUGGAUUAAAAUGCAAUUAAUUGCAUCAUAAAGUCAGCAACAAAGAAUACUCCUAUUUUAUACAAUUUUUUUGGAUUAUUAUUAUUGAUUAAUGGCGGUAUCCAGAUUAAUUAAAUUUAAGGAGAAAAAGUUAUAGUGGCUUUAUGCCUAUCUCUUUUAUAUUAGUUCCUCUAAUUUUUUCUCUUGAUAUAAAUUAAAAUACAAUAAAAUUAUCGAUAGGCUACUCUCUCGGUGGGUAGCAUGUCUUUUCUCGAUUGGUACUGAGUAGAGUUGUAUUGUACUCUUCUAUUAAUUUCUAGUUAAUUUUCUUGGUUGUGGGACAUCUUUUUUUAAAGUUGAAUUAAUUAACCUUUGCACUACUUUCUAGUUUCUUUGGCUGUGGCCUGUGGGACAUCUCUUCUUCAAUUCGGCAAGAAAUAUUUUCCCACCUUAGUUGACUUUUACUAAUGAGCUUUAUAAUAUUUGACACAAUAGAGUGAACAAAUAUUAUUUUAAAAAAAUAUUAUCUUUUCUUUCCCUCUCUUUGUUGGAGAUGAAUAUAGUUUCUACUAGAAAUAAUCAAAUUGAUUGAAAGAGGAAUGAGUAUUGAAAUAAGAUUUGGUAUUGAUUUGAUUAUUCACAAUGGAAAUUACUUGCUUAUCUAGUAAUGGCUUUGUCUAACAAACUAAAGCUGAAAUCUAUGAAAGUUACAUAGCAUACAUAACUAACUAAACAAAGCUAUUUACACUAUAUACACCUACGUUAAUAUUACUAAUCUUAACAUGCCUUCUUAAUGCAAAUUUUCAAAAGCUACAACUCCUAGUUCCUUUCUAAGCUCUAAAAACUGAACUAUUUGAUUGGCUUGGUCAGGAUAUCAAUAGUUUUAUGCAUUAAAAUUAAAGCCUUACAUCAAAUCACACACCAAUUCUAUGGAUCAUCUCCAUCAUAUCAACACCUUAAUCUUCAUCAAUCUCGUCAUCAUCAUCACUACUUCAUCACUUCGAUUUUCACCUUUAUUGUCUCUUUCUUAUUGGACGAAAUAGAGCUUUUAGGAAGACGACGACAAAUGAUGGUAACAAAAUGGAAACGAUUGAAACCAAGCAAAGUGCAUCAAAAUCGUGUGAAAACUUGUGAUUUUGUAGCGGUUUCAUUUGUUGCGAUCUUACAACGAUUUUUCAUGUUUUUCGAUUAUGCUAUGGAUUUGGAUCGAAGAGGAUGAGAAAAAUUGCAAAAUCCUACGAUUUUGAUAACAAUGGCCGCAUCAUAAUUUUUAGAUGGAUAAAUGUCACAAAGAACUAAAAUUGUAAGGACAUAAUCUAAAAACAAUAUAUUGCACUAAAAUCAUAUUUAACUCAUAUUAUAGGACCAAAAAUGUUCUUAACCCUAGUUUUUUUUGAAAAACAAUGGUUAAUAAAGGUCAGAAAUUAAGAACUCGUCUCCAUUCUCUUUUUUCUUAUAUAUAGAGAUAUAGUAAGUUUGCAUGAUGAAUUAAAAGUAUAACAGGUGAAUCGGUGAAGAAAGGCUAAAAUUUCUCUAUAUGGAAAAACAUUUUCAAAAUUUCAUUACUAUUAUUUAAUCCUUGCAAAUACAAGAAAAAAUAAACUAACAUGAAUACUGUGAUGUGCAUUUUCAGGAUGGAAGUUCUAAAUAUGAAAAAGCAUAGCAGCCAGGCAAAAGUUAUUGGCACAGUGGUCUCUAUUGCAGGGGCAUUAGUUGUGACAUUUUAUAAAGGGAUGCCAUUGAUAAAUGAUGCAAUUCAACAUAUAGAAAUUGGAGCAAGUGGAAUUUACCUAUUAGGGAAAUCAGAUUGGAUACUUGGUGCUUUUCUUCUUGCAGUUGCAUGUUUUUGUCUCUCUCUUUUGUUUAUUGUCCAGGUAAACAAACUAUUAAUAUUUGUGAUUGUCAUGUGAAGAGAACCAUAAGAAAAUGUGGCCGAUGCAGAUUUAAUUAUGGUUGUAAACACAUAAAAAAUAUUGAUUUCGUAGUCUAAUAUAAAGGUUUUAGAUGUCUCUGCAAGGACAUCACAACCAUAAUAGCUGUUGCAUUUGUUUGAAUGUUGCCACAAUACAAUGGUUCACAACAUAAUCACAAUGAGCUAUAAUAUAAUAUAUUCAAAUUUUAAUUCUACCUAUAUAUGCAGACUUGGAUUGUCAAGGAUUAUCCAGAAGAGCUAGUGAUAACAACCAUUUGUUGCUGUUUUGUGGUAAUCAUAUCUACCAUUGUAGCUCUCAUUGCAGAGGGAAAUUCAAAAGCUUGGAGACUCAGACCUGAUAAAGAGUUGCUAUCUGUGUGUUACUCAGUAAGUUUAAGCUUUAUUAUAAUUAUAAUUAGGCUUAAUUGCACUUUUGGCCACCUAUCUUUCUAAAAGUUGUGAUUUUGGCCCCCUAACUAAUUAAAAUACAAAACAACCCCUAUGUAUUGGAUCUUUGACAGUUUUGGCCCCAAGGCCACUUUUGAUUAGUCUUCGCUGACGUGUCACUCACAAUGGUCGACACGUGGCACCUUACUUAAGGGAUAUAGGUGUCAUGUCAGCGAAGACUAAGUCAAAAGUGGCCUUGGGGGCCAAAACUGCCAAAGAUCCAAUACAUAAGGGACUGUUUUGUAUUUUAAUUAGUUAGGGGGUCAAAAUCGCAACUUUUAGAAAGUUAGGGGUCAAAAGUGCAAUUAAGCCUAUAAUUAUUAUUAUUAUUAUUAUUAGGCUUAAAAAAUUAUUAUGAAAUUUUAAAACAUAUUAAAAAAGUUUGCAUCAUAAUUUUUUUACAUGAAAUGUAUUGUAACGUAAAAAUAUGUUUUUUUUGUUAAGUAGUUUAUUGACUGAGAAUUUACUUUUAUAAGAUGAAUAAAUGGGGUUUCGAGGGUUCGAACUUCAUCCCCUACAUAUAUUAUGUGUUGUUGUCCAUAUCAACCAAACAAAGCUCACGAGGACUGUGUUUUUAUAAUUAUCAUUUAGCUAACGUGGAUAUUUAAAUAUGUUCUUUUAGUUUCAGAAUUAUAAAUUGUAGCUGUCUAAAUUUUGGUCUUGUGAUUAUUCAUUUAAUAAAUUAUAGGCAGCAUUUGUGGUAUCAUUAAGGAAUGUUGUAAACACAUGGGCAUGUCGUAAGAAAGGACCAAUAUAUGUAGCUACCUUCAACCCUUUAAGAGUGGUCAUUGCACUUGGCAUGCGGGGUAAUAUUUUUGGGAGACAAUCUUUAUCUUGGAAGGUAUAUAUAAAGACCAAAAAUUUGUGAAAUAUAAUUUCAAGAUUGACUAAUUUUUUGUAAUUAAAAACUGGUUUAACCUAUUGGUGCAGCGUGAUUGGUGCUGCUAUCAUAGUUAUUGGAUUUUAUGCUGUGAUAUGGGCAAAGGCUCAAGAGGAACAGACAACAAGUGAAAAUAACUUUUUGUCAUCUUCUUCAACCCCUCUAUUGUCAAACAAAAGCAUCGAUAUCUAGGAUGAUGUAGACUCUACUUUUUUAAGGUGGUAGGUUAUACUAAACAUUAUGUUUGAUAAACGUAACUAUUGUGAGAGAAAUGUGUAUUGCACGAGAAUUGAAGCAAUGUAAUCAUUCAUGAACAAACUCUUACAAAUGGUUAUUUCUAUUCACUAAAGGGCAGAUUUUCUAUAAAUAAAUAUAUUUUGGAAGUAGAAAAUAAGUCCGAAAAAGAAGGUAGAACAUUACAUUUUUGUGAGUAUAAAUUCUACCGAAAAUAAUACUAAAUCAUUGUAUCUUUUCUUUAGUGAACAAGAGAAAUUAACAUGACUUUAUUCUCUAAACUAUCAUUCUAUCUUUUCUUUUCUUUAGUGCACAAGAGAUUUGCCAUUAUACCAUUUUGCAUCCAGUCGGCAUAACUGGUGGGGACGAAUCGAACCUCAAAGUUAGUGUGUCCCACACACGCUUUGAAAUUUAUGGGCACUCUUCAUCAUUGAUGACAGAGCAUCAUAUGAUAUUUUGACUAUGUUUUUAGUAUUUUUUAUUUGCAUUUAAAUACAAAUAAGAUGAGUUAAAGGAGUUGUCAGUGGUUUGAGGAACAUAUUGUAUUGUUUUCACUCGAGUCGUUGUAAUUCAGUUUUCUCCUAGAUCAUGCAAUUCCAUAGGUGUUUUGAGUGUUUUGCAGUGAGGAAUAAUGUAAAUCAUCAAAUCAAAACAUCUUGUGAAGAUUAAGAAUUGAAGAUUAAGGGUUCUUAUUAGAUAGGAAAAUUGUUGCUCAAUGCUUUGAUAGGAAAAUUGUAGUGGCUACCAUUAAUUAAUCAUGUCAUUUUAGAUUGUAAGGAACUUAUUAGAAAUCUAGAUGUAGUUAAAGUUGAGUAUAUUAGCAGAUUGUUAAAUGCUAAAGCUCAUAACCUUGAUGGAAUUGCUAGAGAUGUUGGAUCAAAGACAUGAGUGGGGAAUGCCCCUCCACAUGGUCAAAUUAGUUGUAACCUUGUUUCUGUUUUCUGUUAAAUGAACAAGUGGAAUUUCAAAAAAAAUAAAUAAAUAAAUUAGAAGUGAGGACAAACGAAUUGGAAAGCCAGAUAUUAUUAAAGUGAGAACAAAUUUGGUUUGAUUUGGGACGCACCUUUAACGGUUUGGGUAAUAUUUUCCAAAUUGUAAUAACAGUCAACUUGGUUUGAUUAUUUUCCUAAACCAAACUAUAAAUAGUCUUGGUUUUCUGGACUAAAAUAAAUAUAAAAAAAAAGUUUUGGUUCUUCUUUUUUAAGGAAAAAUAUAAAAAAAAAUAUUAUUCAUCAAAAAAGUUAUAGUUAUCGGAUAUUUUAUUAAAGAAAGUGUUAACGAGUGUUUCAAAGACUAUUUCCAUAUUAUUUUAAUAGGAAAUGUUAGCGAGUACUUUAAGGACACUCUUUAAAAGCUUUAAAUAAUAAUUUUUUAUGAAAAUUUGUGCAUUCAAUGAAUCGAAAAUUGAAGUAUUGGACUUUUUAAUGAAAAGUUUCUUAAGACAUUUAUUGACAAUACCUAUUUUUUUUUUUCAAUUCUUUUAAAUAGAUAAAAUGAUAAACAAUUAUUGAAGUUCGCAAAUAUAAGUAGAUGGGUCGGAAUUCUAACCUUGUUGCAUCGUCCGAUCUAUCAAUUUUAACGUUUCUAUCAUUGAGGCUAGAAUUGAGGACAAAGAAAGCCCGAUAUUUUUUUUUAUCUUAAACGAAGUGUCGAAUCUGGAUCACAACAUCUGACUUUGCAAUUUCGGCAUUUACCAGUUGAGCUAGGACUAAGCCCGAUAUUAUUAAAGUAAGAAGUGAGAACAAACAAAAAAAUCAGAUAGAGACAGAAAAAACAUUGUGACCAAAGGAGCAAGUGUAACAAACAACAACUAGUGUGAGACUGCCGUGCACGGAUUAACUUUCAUAAACUAAAUACAUUUUAAAUGAUGUAAAAUAUACAGACAAACAAUAUAAAAUUAAAAUUCACGAAAAUUUAUGAUAACAUUAAAUCAUUACGGUUCUUAAAAAAAAAAAAAAAAAUAAUCAGUAAAUUCAAUGGAAAUGGUUUGAUCACGGUGUCCCUAAAUCACAAUGGUUGUCUCUUUGACACACCAACUACUUUAAUCGAGCUUUUCCGACUCUCUGUCCUAGUUUUUUUACCAUAGCAUUAUUUCAACCAAAUCAUAUUCUAUACUAUAUGGUUACCUAAUAUUGGAAGAUUUUAUUGCUACAAAUAGAAUCAUGUUACAAAAAUAUAUUUUUCUAAUCUUUUUUUAGAGAAUAUUUUCCUCAUCCUUGUGGAGCACUUGUUGAGAUGCCUAUUCUAAAGUGAAGAUAUUUUAUAUUCUUCUUUUGAUAUUUUAUGAAAGUAAUUGAUUAUCAUCGUAAUUAAUAUUAAUUAAUUAGAUGAGCCGGGAUUUUGGACUUGAUAAGACAAGCAAAUUAUUGGAGGAAAUUAAAGCAAUAUAUUUUUUAUUCUUGUAAGUUGUGUUUGUUUCUAGUUAUAUUCAUAGAUUUUUGAAAUUAAAUGAUAGAAAUAUAAGCUAAAUUAUUUCACAGGUCUUUUAAGUUUUAUGUUUAUAAUAGAUUGAUCCUUUAAGUUAUUUUGAACACACAAAAAUCCUUUAAGUUUAAGGUUUGUAAUAGAAAAAAUGUUAUUGGAAAUAGAAAAAAUUCCAGAAAAAAAAGUGGGAAUAAAGUUCUCACGAAGAUAAGAAUAAAUUCAUUCCCAAAAAGAAUAAUCAUGUGUAACUAUAUAUUAUAACCUCUAUUUUUAAGAUUCUUGAGAAUAUAUAAUCUUAACCAAACAUUUUAUUUUUAUUUUUUUUAAAUACGUUGAAAUAAAAUUCACAAUCUUAGAAAUAUAUUUAGUAAACUUGAAACAAACACAUCAUAGAUAGAUGAAAUGAUAAAUAACCAUUGAACAUCACGCAUAUAAGUAAAUGAGCUAGGAUAUUAAUCCUAAUCACAUUGUCCGACCUAACAAUUUUGACAUUUUUAUUAGUCAAACUAAAGUUAAACUUGAGGACAAGAAAAGCAGAUAUUAUAAAAGUAAGACGUGAGAACAAGCAAAUUAGAGAAAAAAUGGCGAGUGGAGGAGCAAGUGUAACAACAACAAUGAUUGCAGCUCAAAUCGUUGAAGUGGGUGGUGAAACUCUAAUGAAAUCAGCCACUAAAGAUGGAAUGAGUAUUUUUAUUUUCAUUUUUUAUUCAAACCUUUUGGCUCUAUGUUUUCUUCUACCAUCCACUCUCUUCCACCAUAGAAAAAGAGCUCCUCCUCCAAUUUCAACAUCAAUUUUCUGUAGAUUACUUCUUCUUGGUUGCCUCAAGUAAGAACAAAAUAGUAUAUAUAUUAUUAUUAUUAUAAGGAUUUGAAUUUGGUAAAAUAGAGUGAUAUGGAGCUACUUGUGCAGAACUGCAACUCAGACGUUAAUGACUUCUGGAAUUAAAUUCAGUUCUCCUGCGUUGGCUUCAGCUAUUGUUAAUCUUGUCCCUGCUUUUACCUUCAUACUUGCUAUAAUUUCAAGGUAUGUUGUUUUUAUUUUAUGGUUUAAAUUACAAGGUUUGUUCUUUUUUUGGAUUAGAAUGCAUUUACUUGCAUCAUAAAGUCAGCAACAUAAAAUAUACUCUUUUUGUCUUUAAAAAACAAAAACUGUUUUAUUCAACUUUUUUUU
rnacentral:lncRNA from 1 species